rnacentral:misc_RNA from 1 species
UGUGUGUUACUCCAUCGUCUCUCCCUGCCGCGUGGGCUGUGCGUAAAUUGUGCUUCGCAUUAGCGGAAAAUAAGAGGAAUCAACGUGUUCUUUUUUUUUUUCAGAAGGGGAGUCAAAGCGCCGUGUGGAUGCCAAGUCUGUGCAAGAGUUAACUAUUAUUACUACUACUCUACUACUGCUGCUGCCGCCACUCUACACAUACGCGCAGGUACACAUAUGCAAAUACACCUGUGUGUGUUAUGGUUAUGUGUGUGUCUGUGUGGGUGUGUGUUGGUGAUGGGGGUGGUAGUAGUAUAGUAUGUAGUAUAUGGAUAGUGUACGGCAAAAGGCAAAGACACAAGCACGGCGAGUACGACGAACAAACCCAUUUCACACAUGAGUGUGCGCCACACGCGACUGCUCUCUUCUUCUACUUUGCCACCCCAUAUAUAUAUAUAUAUAUUACAUAUAUAUUAUAUAAGGGUGUGUGUGUGGGGGGGAGAAGAGGAAAUGAUUGCGUGUGUGUCGCCGCCACGAACCUGCCAGAUGCUUUCUUACGGUAUUUUGUUGCAUGCACCCGCGUACACACAAUAUACACACAAAAAAAAAACACCGAUAUGAUGGCGAGUGUGCGAUUCUCCUCUUAUUAUUUUUUUCUUUUUCCUCUUUUUUUUGCUCUGGCUAUGUGCCAAUAAAACACUCCUCUUAUAUGUGUGUAGUGUGUUAUUGUCCGCGCCAGAGUGGAAAGAGAGGAAAAAAGAAUAAAAAGUAGUAAAUAGUGGAGGACUGCUUCGCAGCUGCCCUGCCGCACUGCUUUUGCUGCUGCUGCUGGGUUCGCGCAACGCGAUGCUCUCUGUUGAGUGAAAUCUCAUCACAAAAGCACCCCUCAGACUGGUGAAGUGUGUACAAAUGCGUGUGUGUGUAUACAACACAUUUGCGAAUAGCAUACCAGGGAAAAAGGACACAAACAGAAGGAAUUUUGUGUGUGUCCUCUUUCGUGCGUGCUGAACUCUGUGUGUGUGCUGCCGUUUUGUUUGCAGCUUGAAAUGCUUGGUUGAGUAGAAAUCGGUACUUGAUUGUUGCCGCAUUUCGAGGAAUUUCAUCCAAAAAAGAGGUCAACAACAACCAACUGACAAACUUUGUUGGAUCUGUGGGGGAAAAACACACACAAAAACACACAUGUCAUUUUGGCAUGCGUGCGUGCGUGCGUGAAUAUCUUCCACAAAAAUAUAUAUAUAUAUAUAUAAAAUAAAUAUAUAUAUAUAUAUACCAUAACAACAUUCAAAGGAUCAUCAAUGUGUGUGAGACGUGUGCGUGUUUAUAGUGUGUGUGUUUUUUGUUGUGUAUAUGGUGUGUGUUGUAUCGUUCAUGCGUACUUACUAUACUACAUAUUACACACAAUACACCACACACGACGGACGCCGCGCGGACCAACUUGA